UUGUUGUCUACAGAUUAGAUAGGACGUGCAGACAAGCACAGAUUAAGUUAGAUUGAUUGUAAACAUUUAUAUGUGCUUUCGUGUUAAGAACCUCAAUCGUACUUGAACAUAUCGCUUUGAUAAAGUUUUUUUUUAGAAAUGCUUUAUAGAAAAAUGAUUUGGACUUUACGCAUAAUUAACAGUAUUAAAUCUGGAGUAUGCCGUGCGAGUACAUGGGCUGAUUUUAGCAAGGUUUCGGACGACUAUGACAAAUUUCGUAUACCAGUCGGCAGGGAUUUUAUAGCCGGAAUGAGUCAGUUGUACACCGGAAAACGUUUACAGGAUCUACACAUUCUUGACAUUGGCUGCGGCACUGGUCAGUACGCUAAGGAGAUGCUGGAUCUCGGAGUCGGUAGAAUAUCGUUGAUUGAUGCCUCACCUGAUAUGCUGAACGCGGCAAAAUAUAAACUGGCCAAUGAAAUUGAGCAAGGACGUGUACAAUGUUUGGAAACGAUCAAGGCACCUCCUUUGCCAUUCAACAGCGAUUGCUUUGAUGUGAUUCUUCUGACUGCGGUAUUACCCCACCUUGACUGUGCAGGUGACAAAACAUACCAAAACGCAGUGAAGAUGUUAGAGGAAGCCAACAGAGUACUGACUAAAAAUGGUACCAUUGUCAUUACCACUUCAUUUUUUAGCACGUUUUCCCGUUAUUGGUUCUGUAAAGUGUGUCCAGAACUAUGCCAAAGGCUAUGUGAAUAUUUCCCGAGUGCAAGUGAUUUUGAAAUUAUGUUUACCAGAGCGAACCUGAAAUGCGUUCAGAAAUUUACAGUCAUCGGCGCUGGAUUUAUGAGCUACGAGGGAAUGGUCAACUCUGAAGGUUAUGUUGAUCAAGCAUGGAUUAAUAGUGCAUGUUGCUUUGACUUAGCGACCGAGGAGGAGCUAACUGCAAUUCAAGAUAAAGUGCACACUCUGUACCAAAAUGGAAAGUGGAAAGAAUGGUUAGCAGAAAACGAUUCAACCAAUGAGCUUGGCAUCGCCACAUUUUUUGUCUGCCAGCGAAAGGAUAAUGAGGGACAGGCGCAAUGAACGCACAUUGAGAAGGGAUAUUCGAGGAUAUCAAAAUAAUCUGGAGAUGUUUUACCUACACGUGUGCAAGCAGCCCACCACCAACCGCCCGCACUCUCGCCAACUCUAUGUGAUCCUGACUCCACAUCUCACGCUGAAAUCUAAUAAGAGAUCCCCAACGAGGUCCACGCUUCCGAGUACUCUCUGAACGUGGAUGCGAGAGGAUGUUCCACCCCAACAUCCGCUGGCAGACGCCCCAAUCGGAACACCUCUUAACAUCCGCGAAGUGUCACCUCCAAAGACUGGAGUGCUUCCGGUAUAUACAUGUAAAGAAGCAGUUACUGUAUAAAUCGCGUGGACAGAUGGAAGAGCAAAUAUGAACGAAGAAUUUCUUAAUCUAUAGAUUCUGAGACCUACUAGCAUUUCAAGGACACUUCGUUGCUUACACACAACGUAAGAUCAAAUACAACUGA